rnacentral:rRNA from 1 species
AUGAACGCUGGCGGCGUGCUUAACACAUGCAAGUCGAACGAAGCACCUCUCCCGAAGAUUGACACAGCUUGCUGUAGAUUGAUUCAUUUGAGGUGACUGAGUGGCGGACGGGUGAGUAACGCGUGGGUAACCUGCCUCAUAGAGGGGGACAACAGUUGGAAACGACUGCUAAUACCGCAUAGUAAGAAGAAUUCGCAUGUUUUCUUCUUGAAAGAUUUAUCGCUAUGAGAUGGACCCGCGUCUGAUUAGCUAGUUGGUAAGGUAACGGCUUACCAAGGCGACGAUCAGUAGCCGGCUUGAGAGAGUGAACGGACACAUUGGGACUGGGACACGGCCCAAACUCCUACGGGAGGCAGCAGUGGGGAAUAUUGCACAAUGGGGGAAACCCUGAUGCAGCGACGCCGCGUGAGUGAAGAAGUAUUUCGGUAUGUAAAGCUCUAUCAGCAGGGAAGAUAAUGACGGUACCUGACUAAGAAGCCCCGGCUAACUACGUG